AUAAUUUAUCUCUGUUUUCUCUUUUUGUUUCCAGGCAUAGUGUUAGACAUGGCCUCCAUUUUUGAGGAACACCAUCUGUGCCCCAGCAGUAGCCAGCUUUCAUCUGAGCAGUUUUGCAAUGCUGAAUGCAUCUUUGUACAGGAUGAAAACAAAUUUAUCUUCAACAAUAUUCAAACCAGCCAAGCUCGCUUCAAACCCGCCAACAGCAGCAAGUUCCCCUGUGUGCUCAUCUUAGCCAUCAAAAGUGUUGGGCCCAAGGCCAUUAAGGUUUGGAUCGGGAAAUGCCAAGCUAGAAUCGGAGUUUGAUCCGCUGAGCGAGAAACAAGAUGGCGAGCCACCCACGGACCCAUUGAACUGUACCGAGCAGGAAAAGGGAAAACCGCCCCUG
ensembl:lncRNA